rnacentral:lncRNA from 10 species
GACAAAGUUAGAUCACAAUCCACAGGAACAUGGAGGAGAGCUAUGCAAAUCAGCCUGAGGUUUUCAGAAUGUGUUCCUAGAUGAGAAAACGUCUCAUGAACUGAGUUCUUUACGACGGGUUUAACAGAUCUUAGGCUUUCAUUCACCAAAAUGCAUAAGAAUCACUUGGACAACUAUUUCUGAGCUGCAAGCUGGCAAUGUCUGAGGCCCCCUCAAAGGAUAAUGUGAGUUCCCCUGAACAAUCUGGGCAACAGAUGUCAACCAGGGAGAAGAUGCUGGCAGUAGGGUUCCCGGGAGUUGAACAUCUGCCUGACCUCCUACUGGGCUCUUCUAAUGCUGCAGCCUAAGCUGCUGCUGUUAGAUGUUUGGAACUCCACAGCAUCUUUGAUUGCUGAGACAUCGUACACUGCAUAUAGAGCCAGCUUUAAUGACGUGUUCAUGGGAAAUUAGUCUGCCUCAUCAGGCACUGACAUUCAUCACAACUGCUCUGGUGGCAGCUGUGGCUGUAGUAGAUGAAAUUCAGAACAUCUGGGGCAUUCUAUGGAGGAGAAAGAAACAAGCUUCUGGAAGCAGCAACAUAGAAGAACAUUAAUUCUCUCCCCACCCAGUCUCACCUACAGGAAUAGAACCUUUCCUGGCUGUGGUCAGAGGGCAAUGUGACUACUGAAAAUGCAUCAGUGGGAGAUAUGACAAUGCUG